rnacentral:rRNA from 1 species
UGAUCCUGGCUCAGAUUGAACGCUGGCGGCAGGCCUAACACAUGCAAGUCGAGCGGCAGCGGGAAAGUAGCUUGCUACUUUUGCCGGCGAGCGGCGGACGGGUGAGUAAUGCCUGGGAAAUUGCCCAGUCGAGGGGGAUAACAGUUGGAAACGACUGCUAAUACCGCAUACGCCCUACGGGGGAAAGCAGGGGACCUUCGGGCCUUGCGCGAUUGGAUAUGCCCAGGUGGGAUUAGCUUGUUGGUGAGGUAAUGGCUCACCAAGGCGACGAUCCCUAGCUGGUCUGAGAGGAUGAUCAGCCACACUGGAACUGAGACACGGUCCAGACUCCUACGGGAGGCAGCAGUGGGGAAUAUUGCACAAUGGGGGAAACCCUGAUGCAGCCAUGCCGCGUGUGUGAAGAAGGCCUUCGGGUUGUAAAGCACUUUCAGCGAGGAGGAAAGGUUGGUAGCUAAUAACUGCCAACUGUGACGUUACUCGCAGAAGAAGCACCGGCUAACU